rnacentral:rRNA from 1 species
GACGAACGCUGGCGGCGGGCUUAACACAUGCAAGUCGAACGGAAAGGCCCUGCUUUUGUGGGGUGCUCGAGUGGCGAACGGGUGAGUAACACGUGAGUAACCUGCCCUUGACUUUGGGAUAACUUCAGGAAACUGGGGCUAAUACCGGAUAGGAGCUCCUGCUGCAUGGUGGGGGUUGGAAAGUUUCGUCGGUUGGGGAUGGAGUCGGGGCUUAUCAGCUUGUUGGUGGGGUAGUGGCUUACCAAGGAUUUGACGGGUAGCCGGCCUGGGAGGGUGACCGGCCCCAUGGGCGUUGGGGAGGCGCCAGGGCGGAAAGGGGGGGCAGGGGGGGGAAACAGAGCCAAAUGGGCGGAGGGUGGAGGGAAGAACGCCGGGGGGGGAAGGACGGCCUUGGGGUGGUAAACGCAUUUCGCUUGUGACGAGCGGUGGGGAAGGGAAAGGGGGAAGAAGCCCCGGCUAACCUCGUG